UACGUAGGGCGCAAGCGUUGUCCGGAUUCACUGGGUGUAAAGGGUGCGUAGGCGGGAAGGUAAGUCCGCGGUGAAAUCUCACAGCUCAACUGUGAAACUGCCGUUGAUACUGCUUUUCUUGAGUUCGGGGAGAGGUUGAUGGAAUUCCAGGUGUAGCGGUGAAAUGCGUAGAUAUCUGGAAGAACACCAGUGGCGAAGGCGGGUCAACUGGCCCGUAACUGACGCUGAGGAGCGAAAGCGUGGGGAGCGAACAGG
rnacentral:rRNA from 1 species